GGUUCUUGCUUCAGCAGCCCAAGUACCAAAUUGGAUCAAUACAGAGAAGAUGCACUUAGUCCCCGUGUAAGAAAGGCAGGCAAAUUUGUGAAGAUUUCCAUGGAAAA
rnacentral:snRNA from 1 species